CGGUCUUAUAAAUAUAUGAAUUAGUCACAUUUUGUGGUUUACCACAUUGACUGUGUAGGCCCUAUUUGGCGUCAUUAUUGGCGAGAUAAAAGGUUUUCAAUGGGCAAUAACCAGGACUGCUUGUUCAGGAAUGAAACAUCGAACCUCCUUGUUUGAGGAGUCCUCAAUUUGUCUCAGCUGUUUUUCCUGCAUACUCCUCCUGAGACUGGCUUUGAGGAGAUCCAAGUGUAUGCACAAGGGAUGACUCAAAAACAGCAUAGCUGGGGAUGCUGCAUGCAACUAGCGAAUGGACCUCCAAUCAACUGUAGUUGUCUCAGCAAUCAUGCUCCCAGAAUGCUGGUCCUCCUGUUUUUACCACACACAAGCCCAAUGGGGCUUGGUGGUUGUUGUAUUUCACUUUUACCAAAGUCAUUCUCACAGGCGUUAUCUUUUAUCCAGUAUAUGUUUUUUGUUAAAUAUCUGCAGAUUUCAAAUCAGAAUCUUUGAAGUGCCGUUCAAAGUCAUUUUGUGGAAUGACUGAAACUGCCCAGCCAGUGUCCAAUUCCAUUUUAAUUAAUUCGCUGUUCACUUCUGGUAUAAGUCAUAUUGCUUGUCUCCUGUUUUAACAAUGUAAAUAUGAAGGCGACCCAGUCCUGUUUCACUCUCAUCAUUAUCAGAUUUUUCAUCAACAGCAGAAAGAUAAGGGCUCUUUUUGAAACUGCAACUUGACCUUUUAUGUUUUUCUCUUUCCUGUGCAGUCCAUUUAUUCUUGUCUGCCUACAUGUUCUUGUUUGUGUCCUACUUUGUUACAUUUUCUGCAAGGUUCAUCUUUUAACCUGCAUUGGUCUGGUAUAUGUGAGCCACUGCCACAGCGGUAACACAAUUUGUUCAGUCAGGCCAGUUUUUGUUUGAAUGCUGCAAUUUUGUUCACACUCACUUUCAUUCCUGACUGUAACUCAUUUGUGCCUCUGUCUGCUGUUUCCUUUGAUACAGUGAUUUCAACUGCUCUUUUAAAUGUGUGUUGUGCUUCAGCUGGGAGCUGUUUUUGAAUGCUUUCUUGUAAGAUUCCACAAUCCAAAAUAUCUCUCAGUGCAUUAUUAACUCGCAAUGCUCAAACAUUUUCUUCAAUUAAAUCAUGUAAACUGAAA